GGGGUAUAGCUCAGUUGGUAAAGUGCUUGCCUUGCAUGCAAAAGGCCCUGGGUUUCAUACCCAGCACCACCA
rnacentral:tRNA from 1 species